rfam:Xenopus laevis strain J chromosome 1S, whole genome shotgun sequence.
AUUGCUUCUCAGCCUUUUGGCUUAGAUCAAGUGUAGUAUUUGUUCUUAUCAGUUUAACAUUGGGAAACAUACACCCCACUGUGAGAACAAGAACCACGUGAUUGAGGCCAUGGGCCGGGAGGCAUGCAUUUUGAAGCCCAAGCUUUUUUGUGCCCUAGGAUCGAGUCUCCUGGGGUGCCUGAAACAGUGC